rnacentral:rRNA from 1 species
UACGGAGGGUGCGAGCGUUGUCCGGAAUCACUGGGCGUAAAGGGCGCGUAGGUGGCGCAGGAAGUCAACGGUGAAAGUUCGGGGCUCAACCCUGAAUCGGCCGUCGAUACUCCUGGGCUCGAGCACUGUAGAGGCAGAUGGAAUUCCGGGUGUAGCGGUGGAAUGCGUAGAGAUCCGGAAGAACACCGGUGGCGAAGGCGGCCAUCUGGGACUUAACGUGACUG